GUGAGGAAUAUUGGUCAAUGGGCGAAAGCCUGAACCAGCCAUGUCGCGUGAAGGAUGAAGGUCCUAUGGAUUGUAAACUUCUUUUGCAGGAGGGUAAAGUGAGCUACGUGUAGUUCAUUGCAAGUACCCUGCGAAUAAGCAUCGGCUAACUCCGUGCCAGCAGCCGCGGUAAUACGGAGGAUGCGAGCGUUAUCCGGAUUUCUUGGGUUUAAAGGGUGCGUAGGCGGCCUAAUUAGUCAGCGGUGAAAUUUUGCGGCUCAACCGUAAAACUGCCGUUGAGACUGUUAGUCUUGAGUGCGGUAGAGGUAGGCGGAAUGUGUGGUGUAGCGGUGAAAUGCUUAGAUAUCACACAGAACACCGAUUGCAUAGGCAGCUUACUGGAGCGCAACUGACGCUGAGGCACGAAAGCGUGGGGAUCGAACAGGAUUAGAAACCCUUGUAGUCC
rnacentral:rRNA from 1 species